CGGUAAUACUAGCGGUCCAAGUCGCAGCCAUUUUUAUUGGGUCUAAAACAUCCGUAGCUUGCUUAAUAAGUUCCUUGUGAAAUCCUGUAUCUCAAGUACAGGGCGAGCAAGGAAUACUGUUGAGCUAGAGACCGGAAGACGUGAGGAGUACGUUUGAAGUAUCGGUAAAAUGAGUUAAUCUCAAACGGACUAACAAUAGCGAAGGCACCUCACGAGGACGGUUCUGACAGUAAGGGAUGAAGGCUAGGGGCGCAAAACGGAUUAGAUACCCGUGUAGUCCUAGCAGUAAACACUGCACACUAAACAUUAGUACCUCCUCGAGAGGUAUUGGUGCUGAAGGGAAGCCGAAGAGUGUGCUACCUGGGAAGUAUAGUCGCAAGGCCGAAACUUAAAGGAAUAGGCGGGGAGAUACUACAACGGGUGACGCGUGCGGUUCAAUUAGAUUCUACACCGUGAACCCUACCAGGACCGACAGCAGAAUGAAGGUCAGUCUGAAGGGCUUACCUGACACGCUGAGAGGAGUAGCAUGGCCGACGUCAGCCUGUGUCGUGAGAUGACCUGUUAAAUCAGGUAACAGGCAAGACCCUCGUGCAUAUUUGCAAUAGUACUAUAUGCAGAUUGCCAUGGUAACAUGGAUGAAAGUGGGGGCUACGUUAGGUGAGUACAGCCCGACCGCCCUGGGCAACACGCGCGCGUCAAUGGUGAAUACAACGGGAUGCAACACCGAAUGGUGAAGCUAAUCUCUUAAAGUUCAUCUCAGUCCAGAUUGAGGUUUGUAACUCAGCCUCAUGACGCUGGAAUCCGUAGUAAUCGUUUGUCAACAACGAACGGUGAAUACGUCACUGUCUC
rnacentral:rRNA from 1 species